GUGCAAACAAGAGUUUGAACAACUGAAAUCAUGCCUUGCCUCACCUCCUGUUCUUUACCAUCCCAAUCUCCAACUUCCAUUCGUUGUUUAUACCGACACCAGCGACAUCGGGCUUGGUGCCGUCUUUGCACAGCGGAAAGAGCAGGGCCAAGAGGUGGUGAUUGCCUAUGCCAGCAGGUCACUAAACAGAGCAGAAACAAAUUACUCCACAACAGAAAAAGAAUGUCUUGCAGUGGUAUAGGCUCUGGAGAAAUGACAGCAUUAUUUGGAACACAAGCCUUUUCCCGGGUUUCGGCACCAGUGUGACAAGGUUCGUGUUUGGGGUAGAUAAAGGAGGAAGCGGUAGCUGGUUUCCACAGUCCACGACGCCGCUCUCUUUCCACUUUCGUCUCCAGUCCAGCCUCCGGAAAACCCUCUCACUUCCUCUCUCUUGACUCCUAAUAUUAUUCUCUACAUUGAUUAGUCUUCCGGUAGCAGGUUUUUCCCUUAUUUUUUAUUUUAUUUCUUUUGGGCACAGUAUUCUGUACUAUCACACAUUUCUGUGGCUGUAAAAAAAGAAGUUUUUACACAAAAUUUUGUGUUGAUUGCAUUCAUCAAGAUCAACCAUUCAACCCUGUGACCUGAGUCAUUGUAAGAAAAAUGAUCAAUAUGAAUACAUAUUAUUUUUUAUUUGUGGUAAAUGUAAGUUUAUCAAUAUACAAGCCAAUAUUUUGUCUCAAACGUGCUAGCCAAUACAAGUGUUAGCUUUAGGCUGAAUUUAGGCUAAAUUUUCAGUCCUGUUACUUGCAUCACUGUUACCCAUUCUGGUCUAUUUUUAUUAGAACCUUCAUCCUAUAGGUUUUCAUUACUACUAUAUGUUUUUGUUUGUUUGUGUAGUGUGUAUUGCUUGUAGCUUAUAUUUGACUGGGGCGAUGUGUUGGAUUUUGCUGUUUUUUCCCACCAGUGCAAGUGCAAAUGAAGCAAUUACCAUUCAGUACGCUGUGGUAAAAAUGCAGUUUACUUUUUAAACUUUCUCAAGAGAAGGCUUCAAACAUACACUAAAGUAGGUUAGCUAUAAACUGGCAAUUACAGAUACUUUUUUUUUGUUUAAAUAGUUGUACAGCCUCAUGUACUAGACCAUUUCUGCAUUUGUAUAAAGAAAAAGUGUGGAAAAAAGUGACAAAGUUAAAAGUAAACAUUUUUAGAGCAACCAUUUUAACAUUUUUCUUCAACUUUUCUUCAAUAUAUAUAUAUAUAUAUAUAUAUAUAUAUAUAUAUAUAUAUAUAUAUAUAUAUAUAUA